ACUAGGGUGAUCGGCAGAAGUCUUGCUGGCAGUGAGCCGUGUUCGGAUGAGUCGCAGGUUCGAGUCCGGAUGCUAGUCCUCGCUGGAAGUACCUGUGAGCAGUAGGAGCGCAUCGUCGGGAACCGGAGGUGUGUUGCUGUGUGAUGCUGGCUCUGAUCCACAUUGCCCAUGGAGGAUUCUGAGCACAGGCAUCAGCUGUGCACCACCACACACACCAUUCUACCAUGGAGCCACCAGCCAGGGUUGUGGAGCCAGGGAGCCAGUGACAAGAAGAACGUUCUGACUUUCUGAUCUUUCUAUGCUCCCGUACUCCUCUUCUACCUGAGAACCUGAAGUGUCUCCAGCUCCACGGCUGAUCUCCUGUUAGCCCAGCACCAGGGCUGUGUGACCUGCCCACUUGUCUCCCAUUCCCUGCACAGCCAACACCUGGGCCAACGCUAACCAGACCAGUAUUCAUCUACCAGUGUCUAUCCUGAGCCAUGAUGGCAAGUCUACCUCUUUGUUU